GUAUUUCUGACUCCAUGAGAUAAGCAUGCAUACAUACAGAAAUUAUUAAGCAAGUGGAUCUUCAAGCUUUCACUGUACAAAUGGUUCUGGAAUACAUUUGUGCACAAUGUUCUUUUCAAGUCUGAGAGAGAUCAGGAGGACCUUUUUAAAAAACAUCUGACAGUUGUUGAGAAUGAAAAUAUCUAAGGCUUUUCUUCAUAUAUGUGCGACCACCACUUAGGAAAAAAAAAAGAUACUGCUUAAAGGUAAUACUUCACAUUAAAGGCCGGGGCCAGAAAGUCUGGUAAGAGAGAAGAAUUUUCAGUGGGAAGUCCAGUCAGUGGAUUAUUUAUAAUUGAACUGGUUUAAAACUCAGUAAAACAGGAAUAGGAACUCGUCUGCGUUAGAUAACCUAGCAGGCCUUCCUUAUGAAAUUUCUAUGAUGUGUUAUAGAAUGUUUUGGUUUGGUGACUGAAGAACUCAGACGAGCAAUUCUUACAGAACUGGUUUAAAAAAAAAAUUACGUCAAAUCUGCAUUUAAUAUGAAUGGCUUUGAGACUUCUCUGUACUGACAAGUUUGACAGUAUAUAGUUUUGGCAUUAAAUAGUACUUCUUUACAGUAUUGUUCUAUACUAACUUUUAAUUUCUCCAGCCUAAAUAUAUGUGUAUUGUCUUUUCCUACAGGGGUUUGUUUCUGCCAAUGCUUAAAUGUAAGCUUGUUAGAUGAUUAUUAUUUUAGUGCCUGUGACAAGAAACAUGAGGUGCAACAAGAUUUAUGUUUGAGUUUUAUUUACCUUCUAAUGAAAAUGUCCUUGUGCUAUCCUACAGAGAAAGAAAGCUGAAAUUGCUCUUUAUAUUCUCUAAAAUCAAUGCCAAAUGCUCAUCUAAGGUAGCUGAGAUUUCUGUAUCUAUGUUAUUGCUAAAUCAUCCACUUCACUGGUCUACUGUCUUAACAAAGGAUGCUGGAUCCAACCUUGAGAACCUUCCAGAUGGACUGCUGCCUUUUACUUGAAAAAGAGAGACAAAGAUGAAGUGGCUGUGAAUGUCACUGUGCCCCAUCAGUGAAGUCUGUAAAGGAGACUCAGCUCCAUGUGGUUGAAGAUGUGCAUAACCCCAUAACUGUCAGUAGGACAGUAUCCUGUUGGUGGGGAAUGGAAAAUUGGAGCCCUGGUAGAAAGAGUGGUGACUCAGGAGUGGAGGGACAAAGUGUAAGCAAGUGCUGGAAUCUCCCUGAGUUUAACUACAACUAUGAAACACUGUUUAAAAUGUGUUUUCUUUUUCUAUAGCAAGAUUAAUUGAAAAAGUUUAAGCGUUUCGAAAUCAUAUUGCUUGCCUCAGGAAUCUGAAAUAGUAAUGGUGUGUCUUUUCAUAGUUAUUUCAAAUUGCUCGUGUAUGUGUUAGCUGACAUUGGCAUAAGUAAAUUGUUUCUCUGUGGUGUUUCAUCUUCUUGGUUGUUUGGAAUUCAGCUUAAUUCUCAAUUUGUCUGCUUUAUGCAGGCAUCUGUAUCAGCAUGAAGCUAUUCACAUGCACUUCCUCCCUUUCUGUGUGACACACUUCCAUAUGUGGAUUCACAUUUAACUAAUAUACACAGAUAAUUUCUUGUACCCUGUAGCUCUAUUGACUAUACUAUUGAUCCUGUACUGUCAUUUAGAGUUAGGGUUUUUAUCUGUUCUUAUAUCCUUCUGUCAGAGAUAAUACAAUAUUAUAAGGAUGCACUGUCUGAUUUAGCAGAGAGAUUUAACAGAGCAAGGCUGUUAUGAUAUUUACAUGACCUAAUUAUUUUACUACUAUUAGUGAUUUUCUGCUAACGACUCCGUCUUGUUUUUAUCUUCACCAACUGCUUUAAUAAAGUAUUCAUUAUAUAUCGCGUUGCCA
ensembl:lncRNA